CCUUUGACGUUAGCGGCGGACGGGUGAGUAACACGUGGGUAACCUACCUAUAAGACUGGGAUAACUUCGGGAAACCGGAGCUAAUACCGGAUAAUAUUUCGAACCGCAUGGUUCGAUAGUGAAAGGUGGUUUUGCUAUCACUUAUAGAUGGACCCGCGCCGUAUUAGCUAGUUGGUAAGGUAACGGCUUACCAAGGCUACGAUACGUAGCCGACCUGAGAGGGUGAUCGGCCACACUGGAACUGAGACACGGUCCAGACUCCUAGGGAGGCAGCAGCC
rnacentral:rRNA from 1 species